rnacentral:rRNA from 1 species
UACGGGGGGGGCAAGCGUUGUUCGGAAUUACUGGGCGUAAAGGGCGCGUAGGCGGUUGGAUAAGUCAGCUGUGAAAACCACGGGCUUAACUCGUGGCCUGCAGUUGAGACUGUCUGGCUUGAGUGUGGGAGAGGAGAGUGGAAUUCCUGGUGUAGCGGUGAAAUGCGCAGAUAUCUGGAGGAACACCGGUGGCGAAGGCGGCAUCCUGGACCAACACUGACGCUGAGUGAGCGAAAGCCAGGGGAGCAAACGGG